rnacentral:rRNA from 1 species
UACGUAGGGUGCAAGCGUUGUCCGGAAUUAUUGGGCGUAAAGGGCGCGUAGGCGGCCUUUUAAGUCGAACGUGAAAUCCCCGGGCUCAACCCGGGAACUGCGUCCGAUACUGGAAGGCUUGAAUCCGGGAGAGGGAUGCGGAAUUCCAGGUGUAGCGGUGAAAUGCGUAGAUAUCUGGAGGAACACCGGUGGCGAAGGCGGCAUCCUGGACCGGCAUUGACGCUGAGGCGCGAAAGCCAGGGGAGCAAACGGG